rnacentral:rRNA from 1 species
UACGGGGGGGGCAAGCGUUGUUCGGAAUUACUGGGCGUAAAGGGCUCGUAGGCGGCCAACUAAGUCGGACGUGAAAUCCCCAGGCUCAACCUGGGAACUGCGUCCGAUACUGGAUGGCUUGAAUCCGGGAGAGGGAUGCAGAAUUCCAGGUGUAGCGGUGAAAUGCGUAGAUAUCUGGAGUAAUACCGGUGGCGAAGGCGGCAUCCUGGACCGGCAUUGACGCUGAGGAGCGAAAGCCAGGGGAGCAAACGGG